rnacentral:rRNA from 1 species
AAUGAACGCUGGCGGCGUGCUUAACACAUGCAAGUCGAACGAGAAAGCUUUAGCUUGCUAGAGCGAGUAAAGUGGCGCACGGGUGAGUAACGCGUGGGUAAUCUGCCCUUGAAUUUGGGAUAACACUUCGAAAGGGGUGCUAAUACCGGAUAACAUCUUUUCUAUUGCGGUAGAAGAGAUCAAAGAUAGCCUCUUCUUGAAAGCUAUUGUUUGAGGAUGAGCCCGCGUACCAUUAGCUUGUUGGUGGGGUAAUGGCCUACCAAGGCGACGAUGGUUAGCUGGUCUGAGAGGAUGAUCAGCCACACUGGAACUGGAACACGGUCCAG